UACGUAGGGGGCUAGCGUUGUCCGGAUUUAUUGGGCGUAAAGAGCGUGUAGGCGGCCAGGUAGGUCUGGUGUGAAAACUCGAGGCUUAACCUCGAGAUGUCAUCGGAAACCAUUUGGCUAGAGUCCGGAAGAGGAGAGUGGAAUUCCUGGUGUAGCGGUGAAAUGCGCAGAUAUCAGGAAGAACACCAAUGGCGAAAGCAGCUCUCUGGGGCGGUACUGACGCUGAGACGCGAAAGCGUGGGGAGCGAACAGG
rnacentral:rRNA from 1 species